GUUACAUUUUGUGCACUAUCUUUUGCUAUUUAUCUGCGUGCUAUUUUGUUUUAGCGCAGUUGUAGAGGCUAAGCCGUUCUUCUUUCUUCCUGAUUUUUCUAGACCUAAAUCUAGUCCGCUAAAUAUAUUUCUCGAUGCUAUUCGUAGUUAUAUUAAAGAAGGAUCUCCAUCUACAUCGGUAAAGGAUGCUUUGACAACCCUCUUGAAAGCAUUGCAAGAUGAGAGUUGAUAUUUUUGUAUUAUGACUUUUGAAUGUAAAUAAAUAAAGGGAAGAAAAAUAAAGGUGAAAAACUGAAGUAA